rnacentral:misc_RNA from 1 species
GAUGAAGAACGUAGCGAAAUGCGAUAAGUAAUGUGAAUUGCAGAAUUCAGUGAAUCAUCGAAUCUUUGAACGCACCUUGCACCCUUUGGACUGCUCCAAAGGGUAUGCUCGUUUGAGUGUCAUUGUACUCUCACACUCUCUGAUCCUUUGGAUUUGGGGAGCAGUGGACUCGGGUGCUUGCUGCUUCCUUGUGGCUCACCUGAAAUGCAUCAGUGCAUCUCUCGAUUGGACAUAGUACGGCGUGAUAAGUGUCUUCGCCGGCACCUCAUAUGAGGGUGGCCGAUCGGGAGCUCUGUGCUUUCAAACCGUCUUCGGACAACGCUGACAACUUGACCUCAAAUCGAGUAGGACUACCCGCUGAACUUAAGCAUAUCAAUAAGCGGAGGA